UGGGCAGAACCCACAGAGAAAUCUGUGUCACAGUUUCUCUUUUACUCCCAUGGGGACAGACUGCUGCUUCUGCCCGCCUCCCUGCAAAACGUAUCCUGACACGUGAAGCUGCCUGGGAAGUUGAUACCUGCAGCAAUUUCAGAAGAAAAAUAUGGGGGCAGCCAACUUGUUGAUACUAUUCUGAUUUACACCUGGCCUUGGACAAUUUGGACAGUGGUUACCAAGAGCUCUGUGCAGGACCCAGAUGCGCGGAGACCUUCAGGGCAAACUCGGAGCAGCAGCAGAGCGUCCUGGCUUGUCAAGGAGGAAGGACCAGCGUGGCAAAGCAAGCAAGGAGGACUCACUCGGCCAGCCCCGGCCAUAAGAGCCCGCUGCCUGGGGGUGGCGGGUGGCUCCGGGGCCCCUCUGUGCACGGGCCACCCAGAAGGAAUCGCUGCCAAGCCCAUUAGUCCAGAUCAGAGAGCGGCAGACGCAGGCAUACGGCGUAGUGAUCGGAUGUUUGAUCCCCAGCCUGAGUCGAGGCACCUGUGUCACCUCUCCAAGUUGAUACCAUAGGAUCAGCUCUCCAAGCUGCCCAUUAUGUCCCCAGGAAUCUUUCUUUAAUAGCUCGAAGUGUGCACUUCCUGACCCCUUCAUCCAUUCCUCACCCCCACACACCCGUCUCUUCAGCUCCCUCUGGCAGCUGCCAAUCUGUUCUCUGUAUCUAGGACUCUGGGUUUGGUUUUGUUUGAUCUGUGUUUGAGAUUCCACAUAUGAGUGAGAUCAUAUGGUAUUUGCUUUCUCUGACUUAUUUCACUUAGCACAAUGCCUCAAGGCCCAUUGCAAAUGGCAAGAUUUCUUGGGCUUCCUUCUCCAUCCCCUGCGGCAGACUGAUCAGGGCAGUACACUGGGCAGGGUUCAUUUCUCUUUGAAGGUGUGCAUAGAGCCCUGGGAAAGGGAGACUGGCAGAGCCCACCCAGGUCAGGAGGGGCGUGCAUUUCCUCUGCUCCCACCGCACGCGCGCACACACACACGUGCAGUACACGCCGGCUAACCGGUGGGGGGCAGAAGCCUUGGAGAGGAGGGGCUGGGCCUGCGGCAGGUGUGGGGUGGAUGGGGGGCUGGUGAGGAGCCUCGCACCUGGUGCACAGCUUCAUCCCUCCUUCCGUGGCUGGGUGAGGGCAGGAGGCUGGGAUGCUUCUCAUCCCCCAGCCCUGGGAGGGGCUACUACAGACAAGGGGCAGGUAGGACCAGGCACUCCGUGGGAAGAGAGACCACCCUGGCUGAGUCAGCGGCAGCUGAGCCCUGGGAAGGGCUCUGGGGUCUCAGCACACUGCUUGGUAAACCCUGCAUGAAGACAGGGAGGCUCUGCAGAGAGGGACAGAGGUAUGAUGAGGGGCUGAGCCCAGCACAGACCUCUGGAAAAGGGGGUUUGAGAAUCAAGAGAUAUCUUCCAUUCCAUAAAGAGUCACUAUAGUAAUACCUAGCAUUUGGGGUGCAUGGGUGGCUCCGUGGGUUAAGCAUCUGCCUUCAACUCAGGUCAUGAACUGAGGUCAGGUCAGGUCCUGGGAUUGAGCCCUGAGUCAAGCUCCCUGCUCAGCAGGGGAGUCUGCUUCUCCCUCCGCCUCUGCCCCUCUCCCCAGCUCGAGCCCUUUCUUGCCUCUCUUUCACAUAAAUAAAUAAAAUCCUUUAAAAAAUA